rnacentral:rRNA from 1 species
UACGGGGGGAGCGAGCGUUGUUCGGAAUUACUGGGCGUAAAGGGCGCGUAGGCGGCCAGGCCAGUAAGUGGUGAAAUCCCCGGGCUCAACUUGGGGUCUGCCAUUUAAACUACCUGGCUGGAGUGCAGGAGGGGGCAGUGGAAUUCCUGGUGUAGCGGUGAAAUGCGUAGAGAUCAGGAGGAACACCCGUGGCGAAGGCGGCUGCCUGGACUGCAACUGACGCUGAGGCGCGAAAGCUAGGGGAG